AGAGAUCAUUUUAAAGUGUUUUAUUAUAAUUCAGAUAGCACUAAAGGUCAUCUCUUAACAGCCUGCCACUAAAGGUAAGCUUAAUUACCAAAGCUGCCACCUACGGCUGUCUCUCUCCCUCUCCCUAUCAUGUGGCCGGCUCUUUUCUCCGCAGCAGUCAAUUUGUGUGACAUUUUCUCAGUUUUCGAUUUUCAUUUUCCAGUCUCUGCAAAUCUAAUUCCCCUCCGGAGCCUUAAAGUUUCCGACGAAACAUUAAGAGACGUGUUCCGAUUAAAGAAGGAGAAGAUCCGAAAAUGAAUUUGAUACUCGAAUCUGUUUUCUCUCGGCGAAUUCUGAUUACGACUGGAGGAGUUGUAAAUUGAUCCACAUGGCCGACGUCUUACUCUAAUUCUGGCGAGGGUGCUCCGAAACCUGGCGGACUAGCUAGUUCUACGAGAAGCGCAAGAAUACCUCUCUCUCUCUCUCUCUAUGUGAAGCCCUACCCUUCGUUUCUCUCCCAGCUAUGGAAGACCUUCACCCUCACUAUGUGGAUCUCGAUGAUGCAGAGCUACAGGAAGAGGACAAAGCCUUAGAAGAACAUUCCUUCCUCGGCGACGUUGUAGACUCGGAAGAAAAAGAAGAAGAACAAAACGCCCAAACCGAUCCCAAUUUAGCGCCAUUUUGCUGGCCAAAUCAAGAAAGAUGACUACGAUUCGGAGAUUUUGCUGCAAUUAUCUGCUUCAUUUAACUUCGGUCAAUCUCGACUACCUCACUGAAACUGAAGAGGAUGGUGUCUGGAGUCCAGCCGAUAGGUUCUAUUCACCUGGGGAAUUAUCUUGGUGCCAUACGAAACUGGAUUACAUUACACGUAGCACCAAAUUGUCUGCUGUAGAAAUAGUUAAUUGAAUCUGAUCUGUUUAGAUUGUUAGCUAAUAUGCAAUAUGGUAUCUACUGGAAAUAGUGCCCGUGCUUUGCCGCGGGGGUUUGUUAUUGUUAACCAUUUUGUAUGCAAGGUUUACCGACAAAACAUAUAAAUUUGGGAAUGUUAUAGAUUUUCAA